rnacentral:tRNA from 1 species
GGGCGUAUAGCUCAGUUGGUUAGAGCGUCACAUUGACAUUGUGAAGGUCUCUGGUUCGAAUCCAGAUACGCCCACCA